AAGGGUAAUUUUUCUGUUUUAUUAGCUUCGAUCGGUGUUCAGCUUCAAUCCGGAUCAAUCCUUGUUCGGCCUCAUACCAGAAUUGAUUUUCACCUCAUAUCAGAAUUGAUCUUUGUACUGAUCUUCAGCUUCAAUCGACCUUCACCUUUCAGAAUCGAUCAAUCUCUGUACUGAACCCAACCAGACUGAAUCGAUCGAUCGAUCGAUCUCUGUACUGAACCCAACCAGACCUUCACCUUUAAGAAUCGAUCGACCUCAUACCAGACUCCUCUUGCCCUAACUUGUCAACUAUGUUCUCUCCUCCUCUUGCCCUAACUUGUCACGAUCGAUCUCAUAUUCAUGGCUCCAAUCCGAAGAUAUAUAUAAGUUUGAGACAAAUUUUUUGCAGCUCUACAAUCUGAUUUUAUGAAAUUUAGAGCUGGAAGUAUCUACAACUCAUGCAGGUUUAUAGAAGUUGAGGUGGCACAAAGAUAAACGCGUAGAGGAGAUAAAUGCCCUACUUGCAAGGAGCCUAGUUACAAAUUUCAUAAAAGUAAAGGUAAAAAGACACAUCCCAUGAGCCUAUGAAUAGACGGUGAUACAUCCCAUAGGACAACUCCUCCGGUAAUUGCCUCUUGUGAUAUAAUCACCAAAGUAAUGGAUGAUCAUGUGAAAAAGUCUUGGGACUUAGGCAUGUGUGAUAUGCCAAUGUGCCUAGUGCCCUUUCAGGUGGUGCAGUAAACAUCGGACUCGUUGAUUACACGUGGACGUGCAAGUUACCAACACUGCCUUUGUGUUCAGAAUUAUUAUCUAUUCAGACCACCUUAGUUUUAGUUUGCAUAACUUUUCAAGUUUGCACAUACUAAUCCCCUGCAUAUGGAUGUGUUCCAGAGUGUUGCUUGGUAUGAAGCAGAAGUGGUUGCGAUGACAGUCGCGCUACUUGAAGGUAAAGAAAAAGCUUCCGGAGGCCAGAUAUGUGGAAACAUGACAUCUGCAGGAACUGGAAUUAUAAUAUGUGGAAACAUGACAUCUGUUAGCAGUGAAAUCGUCACGUGACUUUAUGAAAGCUGAAAAAGGAAUUACAAUGCCAGAAAUCAUAGGAUAAUACCUGAAUCUGCGCACUCAGCAUAUGACAAAGAAGCACAAUAUUUCAAAAUCAAGUUGCGGCGUGUCCCCGUAAACAAUGAAUUUCUGGCAAAUGCCAGAGAUAUUAAAUGAUAUAUAAACAAAAAUACCAUAUUGAUUGUUGGAUCGGCACCUGGGUUCCCACAUGGGAUCAUUGACCCUAUUGAGGUACGUGACACUGAAUUUUGGUUAUAUGAAGAUCUGUAAUUCUCAUUGGUUCUUGCUUAUCACUUUGAAAUUUGUAGGAGCUUGCCGAACUAGCUUUUGGCUCUAGGGUUGUUUCCAUGUUGACCUUUGUCUUAGAGGUUUUGUAUUGCCUUUCGCUCGUAAACUUGGGUGUGUCUGGUUUGAUUUUUUCAUUGACUAGUAAGGUGUUGCUUUGUGAUGAAACUAUAUUGUGGCUAUUUUUUAUUUCAAGGCAUUUUUGCUUAUUGUUUUGCAGUUUCUCUUAAUAUUAUGCUACAGGAUUUGUGCUA